GUCGGGAUAGCUCAGCUGGUAGAGCAGAACU
rnacentral:tRNA from 1 species